rnacentral:tRNA from 1 species
GGGCGACUAGCUCAGUUGGUUAGAGUGCCUGCUCGACACGCAGGAGGUCACAGGUUCAAAUCCCGUGUCGCCCACCA